UGGGGAAUUUUGGACAAUGGGCGAAAGCCUGAUCCAGCAAUGCCGCGUGUGUGAAGAAGGCCUUCGGGUUGUAAAGCACUUUUGUCCGGAAAGAAAUCCUUGGCUCUAAUACAGUCGGGGGAUGACGGUACCGGAAGAAUAAGCACCGGCUAACUACGUGCCAGCAGCCGCGGUAAUACGUAGGGUGCAAGCGUUAAUCGGAAUUACUGGGCGUAAAGCGUGCGCAGGCGGUUUGCUAAGACCGAUGUGAAAUCCCCGGGCUCAACCUGGGAACUGCAUUGGUGACUGGCAGGCUAGAGUAUGGCAGAGGGGGGUAGAAUUCCACGUGUAGCAGUGAAAUGCGUAGAGAUGUGGAGGAAUACCGAUGGCGAAGGCAGCCCCCUGGGCAAUACUGACGCUCAUGCACGAAAGCGUGGGGAGCAAACAGGAUUAGAUACCCUGGUAGUCCACGCCCUAAACGAUGUCAACUAGUUGUUGGGGAUUCAUUUCCUAGUAACGUAGCUAACGCGUGAAGUUGACCGCC
rnacentral:rRNA from 1 species